CUUCUGUAUUGGAUAUAUUGCACGCGACCUUGACAAACCCACAGCGAGGCAUGAUAAACUGAGAGGAAAUUCCAGACCGGUCCUCAGGGAGCCCAUCGGAAGGCACAAGAACCGGUUUUAGACACCAAAACAACUUUGGACCCCCCUGACUGUCAUUGCAUGGACAAAACAGUUGUAAAAUUCUAAGUUUCUUCAUUUUCAUCGUAUGAACAAAAGAAAACACUGAGAGAUUUUUCAAAACAUCUUGUUUCAUGUUCCACAAGGAGCACAUAUUUGCCUCCAGAAGUCCACGUAUUUGUCACUGGAAGAUAGACCUGGUUGUUCGUGACCGUGGACCACAAAACUAGUAG